UCUAGAGGCUUUCGAUUACUUUUCCUUCGGAAUGUCCUUUUUCGGUUUCUCAGUUUGGUGGUUUUGAAUACUCUAGCAAUACUGGGAGAACAGGAUUUCUUAGUGAUGAAAAUCUUCAUUUUAAGGACUUUGUUUUUGAGGAGCCAUGUGAAGCUCAGACUCUCACAAGUCAAGAAGGUCUUCAGACUCCCAAUGUGAGUAGUCAGCGCUUGUCUGUUGGGAUGACACCCAAAACCCUUAGGCUGUCGAAACCUAGUGAGAUGCUUCUCUCUGUCCAUGGA